UACAGAGGGGGCAAGCGUUAUUCGGAAUUAUUGGGCGUAAAGGGCGCGUAGGCGGCUUGGCAAGUGGAAGGUGAAAUCCCUCGGCUCAACUGAGGAACUGCCCUCCAAACUGCUUUGCUUGAGGCCGGGAGAGGCGAGUGGAAUUCCCAGUGUAGCGGUGAAAUGCGUAGAUAUCUGGAGGAAUACCGGUGGCGAAGGCGGCAUCCUGGACCGGCAUUGACGCUGAACAGCGAAAGCUAGGGGAGCAAACGGG
rnacentral:rRNA from 1 species